rnacentral:rRNA from 1 species
UGGCGGGACGGGGUGGAGUAACGCGUGGGUAACCUGCCUCAUACAGGGGGGUAACAGUUAGAAAUGACUGCUAAUACCGCAUAAGACCACAGCACCGCAUGGUGCAGGGGUAAAAACGUACCGGUGGUAUGAGAUGGACCCGCGUCUGAUUAGGUAGUUGGUGGGGUAACGGCCUACCAAGCCGACGAUCAGUAGCCGACCUGAGAGGGUGACCGGCCACAUUGGGACUGAGACACGGCCCAA